GAUCUUGUUUUUUGAUUAACGACCAAAGAUUGAUCACCACUUUCUAUUGGAAUCUAGAUGCAUGUUCCAUCUUCCACUGCGUAGUACACAAAUCCCUAUAGUGUUGGUAGCAGCAUCUGCAGAGGCUUUGAGUGUGGAGGUGGUGGAUAACAAGACUCUCUAACUAGUCGUCGUUUGUUCAGGUUCUAUGGUGGGCAUGCAUUAUAAGCUCUCAUAAAAAAUGUUUGCUGUUGUAUAAUGGGUGAUGAUUAGACU
rnacentral:lncRNA from 1 species